GACGAACGCUGGCGGCGUGCCUAAUACAUGCAAGUUGAGCGCUGAAGGUUGGUACUUGUACCAACUGGAUGAGCAGCGAACGGGUGAGUAACGCGUGGGGAAUCUGCCUUUGAGCGGGGGACAACAUUUGGAAACGAAUGCUAAUACCGCAUAAAAACUUUAAACACAAGUUUUAAGUUUGAAAGAUGCAAUUGCAUCACUCAUAGAUGAUCCCGCGUUGUAUUAGCUAGUGGGUGAGGUAAAGGCUCACCAAGGCGAUGAUACAUAGCCGACCUGAGAGGGUGAUCGGCCACAUUGGGACGGAGACACGGCCCAAACUCCUACGGGAGGCAGCAGUAGGGAAUCUUCGGCAAUGGACGAAAGUCUGACCGAGCAACGCCGCGUGAGUGAAGAAGGUUGUCGGAUCGUAAAACUCUGUUGGUAGAGAAGAACGUUGGUGAGAGUGGAAAGCUCAUCAAGUGACGGUAACUACCCAGAAAGGGACGGCUAACUACGUG
rnacentral:rRNA from 1 species